GACGAACGCUGGCGGCGUGCCUAAUACAUGCAAGUCGAACGCAGUGGGGACGGGUGAGUAACACGUGGGUAACCUCCCAUCAGAGGGGAUAACACUUGGAAACAGGUGCUAAACCGAUACUGAUGGAUGGACCCACGGUGCAUUAGCUCGUGGGUGCGGUAACGGCUCACCAAGGCAACGAUGACUAGCCGACCGGAGAGGGUGGUCGGCAACAAUGGGACUGAGACAAGGCCCAGACUCCUACGGGAGGCAGCAGUAGGGAAUCUUCGGCAAUGGACGAAAGUCUGACCGAGCAACGCCGCGUGAGUGAUGACGGCCUUCGGGUUGUAAAGCUCUGUUAAUCGGGACGCGGUACCGUAAUAGAAAGCCACGGCUAACUACGGGCCAGCAGCCGCGGUAAUAC
rnacentral:rRNA from 1 species